rnacentral:rRNA from 1 species
UAGGGAAUCUUCCGCAAUGGACGCAAGUCUGACGGAGCAACGCCGCGUGAGUGAAGAAGGAUUUCGGUUCGUAAAACUCUGUUGUUAGAGAAGAACAGCGCAUAGAGUAACUGUUAUGCGUGUGACGGUAUCUAACCAGAAAGCCACGGCUAACUACGUGCCAGCAGCCGCGGUAAUACGUAGGUGGCAAGCGUUGUCCGGAUUUAUUGGGCGUAAAGCGAGCGCAGGCGGUCAAUUAAGUCUGAUGUGAAAGCCCCCGGCUCAACCGGGGAGGGUCAUUGGAAACUGGUUGACUUGAGUGCAGAAGAGGAGAGUGGAAUUCCGUGUGUAGCGGUGAAAUGCGUAGAUAUAUGGAGGAACACAAGUGGCGAAGGCGACUCGCUGGUCUGUAACUGACGCUGAGGCUCGAAAGCGUGGGUAGCAAACAGG